UAUCGAGAAAAAAAAUAGCAAGUUUGGUAAAUAAAUUAAGUGUAAACCUGAAAAAGAAAGAGGGUUGAGCCGGACAAUAAUGGACAAUCGUCGCGCAGUGCGAAGUGCCAUGGAUUUGAAUCUUAUCCAAUCUAAAUUUCAAAAUCGAAACAAAGCCAAUAGCGCAGUGUAAUUGGGUGACGUUAGGGGGGGGGGGGGGACGAGAAAAUAGAAGGGCAGCCGCAUCCAUACAUGCCAAGAGAUCUGAAACUGCCGGAUUACGCACCUGCACCACUCUCUCUGUCCACCAUCUUUAGCGUCUUUGGGAUUUCUUCCCUUGUCGUCGUCUCUUUCGUCUGGAUACUUUCCGGUUUGGGAGGUCGCGUGAAACAACAAAAAUUGAUAGGUUGCUUAUGUGCUGGUGGGCUUUCACUGGUCUAACACAGAUGAUUCUUGAUGGUUAUUUUGUUUUCUCUCCUGAGUUUUACAAGGAGAAGACCUCUUUUUAUCUGGCUGAAGUUUGUGAGUACGUCUGCGUUUUCUUUUUCUGUUGCAUCAAAUUUAGUUAACAGUGGAGGCGAUAUUAGAACAAAGCACUCUGAAUAAAUGCUGACAGGGAAAGAGUACAGCAAAGGUGAUUCAAGAUAUGCAACAAGGGAUGCUGGAGUAGUUACCGUGGAAGGGUUAACUGGCCGUAUACGCAAUUAAUAUGGGAAAGUCAUAUAGCUACAUACUUCAGUUUGCUAUUUCUCCGGGGCAGCUCUAUGGAGCUGCUGUGUAUUUCAUAACUUCCUACUUGAAAGGCGGUAACUAAGCUGCAAGUCCAUUCUACUACUACGCUUACUAUAUCGGCUUAAAUGCCUCCUGGGUUGUUAUACCAUCACUUAUUUCUAUCCGUUGCUGGAAGAAGAUUUGUGCUGCAUUUCAAGUGCAAGGCCAAAAAAAGACUAAAACUCACUGAGAGAGGUGAAGAAUAACUCCGUUCAAGACUCAAAUGAGAAUAUGUAAGUUUAGUUUUUAACAUCAUGCUUUUUUAUUAUUUUAUGCAGCCAAAUAUGAAGUCUUGAAACAACAAUUUCAUUAUGGCAAUCAGCAAGAUGCAAUUUUAACCCA